CAGCAGCCGCGGGAAAACGUAGGUGGCAAGCGUUGUCCGGAAUUAUUGGGCGUAAAGGGCUCGCAGGCGGUUUCUUAAGUCUGAUGUGAAAGCCCCCGGCUCAACCGGGGAGGGUCAUUGGAAACUGGGAAACUUGAGUGCGGAAGAGGAGAGUGGAAUUCCACGUGUAGCGGUGAAAUGCGUAGAGAUGUGGAGGAACACCAGUGGCGGAGGCGACUCUCUGGUCUGUAACUGACGCUGAGGAGCGAAAGCGUGGGGAGCGAACAGGAUUAGAUACCCCCGUAGUCCCUGUCUCUUAUAC
rnacentral:rRNA from 1 species